GUACUGUGAACCAAGCGGUUAAGGUGGUGGUCUGCAAAACCUCAUGGACAGGUUCGACUCCUGUACAGUACUCA
rnacentral:tRNA from 2 species